UUUAAAAUUCUGUCCAGGAAGCUCACCAGCCUGAACAUGUGAAUCCUCCACCGUCUGCACUAUUGAAAACAAGUUAUAUAAUCCCCACUUUCUUGAGGUGGGGGCUAUACAAGCUGGAAAGGCUGGGCUGCUUGGCAUCUGGAGUCCCAUUUUAAGUAAAUAGAUGAGAUUGGUGGCUGGUCCAAUUGUCAUCAAAGAGGCUUCAUCCCAUAAUGGAGGGAAACAGAUGCAGAAACACAGAGCCAAAGAUUAGGAAUAUGAAAAAAGAAAAAAGAAAGCAGACUGAGCAGGCUCUGAAGACCAAACCAGUAAGCAGAACACCCAUGGCCUCUGCAUCAGCUCCUGCCUCCAGGAUCCUGCCCUGCUUGAGUUCCUGUCCUGAUUUUCUUCAAUAAUAAACUGAAAUGUGGAAG